rnacentral:rRNA from 1 species
GUAUUUUAACUGUGCUAAGGUAGCAUAAUCAUUUGUCUUUUAAUUGAGGGCUGGAAUGAAGGGUUGGACGAGGUAUUAGCUUUCUUUAAUUUAGUUUGAAGAAUUUAAUUUUUGAGUUAAAAAGCUUAAAUUUAUUUAUGGGACGAGAAGACCCUAUAGAUCUUUAUAGUUUUAUAUUUUAAUAAUUUAGGGAUUUAUAUAUUUUAAGUAAAUGAACUAUUUUGUUGGGGUGACUGUAGAAUUUAAAUAACUUCUA